rnacentral:lncRNA from 1 species
AAAUGACCCAAACUUGGCCCAAAUACCUCCAAAAUAGCCCCAAAAUGAGGAAAAAUGACCCAAAUUUGCCCCAAAUAGCCCCAAAAUGGCCCCAAAAUGACCCCAAAAUGAGCCCAUAUGACCCAAAAAUCCCCAAAUAUCCCCUAUAAUGGCCCCAAAACAAACAAAAAUGACCCAAAUUUACCCCAAAUGUCCCCCAAAUGACCCAAAUUCACCCCAAAUAUCCCCAAAAUGGCCCCAAAAUGACCCAAAAUGACCCAAAUGACCCCAAAUAUUCCUAAAAAUGGCCCCAAAAUGAGGCAAGAAGACCCAAAUUUGCCCCAAAUAGCCCCAAAUGGCCCCAAAAUGAGCCUAAAUGACCCCAAAAUCCCCGAAUAUCCCCCAAAAUGGCCCCCAAAAGAACAAAAAUGACCAAAAUUUACCCAAAAAGGCCCCAAAAUGACCCAAAUUCGCCCCAAAUAUCCCCAAAAUGGCCCCAAAAUGACCCAAAUGACCCAAAUAUUCCUAAAAAUGGCCCCAAAAUGAGGCAAGAAGACCCAAAUUUGCCCCAAAUAGCCCCAAAAUGACCCCAAAAUGAGUCCAUGUGACCCAAAAAUCCCCAAAUAUCCCCUAAAGUGGCCCCAAAACAAAAAUGACCCAAAUUUACCCUAAAUGUCCACCAAAUGACCCAAAUUCGCUCCAAAUAUCCCCAAAAUGGCCCCAAAAUGAGCCCAUAUGACCCAAAUAUCCCCAAAUAUCCCCCAAAAUGGCCCCCAAAAGAACAAAAAUGACCAAAAUUUACCCAAAAAGGCCCCAAAAUGACCCAAAUUCGCCCCAAAUAUCCCCAAAAUGGCCCCAAAAUGACCCAAAUGACCCAAAUAUUCCUAAAAAUGGCCCCAAAAUGAGGCAAGAAGACCCAAAUUUGCCCCAAAUAACCCCAAAUGAGCCCAAAAUUUUGCCCCAUUUCCCUUCAAAAUGACAUCGAAGAACCCCCAAAUAAUCCCCCAAAUCCGCAUUUUUCACCCCAAAGAACCCCAAUCCAUCCCCACCCACCCCCAAAAUGACCCCAUUUCCACCCAAAAUUGCCCCA